GAUGAACGCUGGCGGCGUGCCUAAUACAUGCAAGUCGAGCGAACAGACGAGGAGCUUGCUCCUCUGACGUUAGCGGCGGACGGGUGAGUAACACGUGGAUAACCUACCUAUAAGACUGGGAUAACUUCGGGAAACCGGAGCUAAUACCGGAUAAUAUAUUGAACCGCAUGGUUCAAUAGUGAAAGACGGUUUUGCUGUCACUUAUAGAUGGAUCCGCGCCGCAUUAGCUAGUUGGUAAGGUAACGGCUUACCAAGGCGACGAUGCGUAGCCGACCUGAGAGGGUGAUCGGCCACACUGGAACUGAGACACGGUCCAGACGACUACGGGAGGCAGCAGUAGGGAAUCGUCCGCAAUGGGCGAAAGCCUGACGGAGCAACGCCGCGUGAGUGAUGAAGGUCUUCGGAUCGUAAAACUCUGUUAUUAGGGAAGAACAAAUGUGUAAGUAACUAUGCACGUCUUGACGGUACCUAAUCAGAAAGCCACGGCUAACUACGUG
rnacentral:rRNA from 1 species